CACUCUCGAUUGUCUUUCAGGCCAACAUGAUCUCGAAGGCGGUGUUGUGUGCCUUGGUGGUGGUUGUGGGAGCCGCGAAGCUCCCAUCUACCUCUUAUGGUACACCAAGGAGAGGCAGCGGAGGUUCUUCUGUUGGAGGCUUCGGGGGUGGAGCAGGAAGUGGAGGCUU